rnacentral:rRNA from 1 species
GACGAACGCUGGCGGCGUGCCUAAUACAUGCAAGUCGAACGCUGAAGGAGGAGCUUGCUACUCCGGAUGAGUUGCGAACGGGUGAGUAACGCGUAGGUAACCUGCCUGGUAGCGGGGGAUAACUAUUGGAAACGAUAGCUAAUACCGCAUAAGAGUAGAUGUCGCAUGACAUUUGCUUAAAAGGUGCAACUGCACCACUACCAGAUGGACCUGCGUUGUAUUAGCUAGUUGGUGAGGUAACGGCUCACCAAGGCAACGAUACAUAGCCGACCUGAGAGGGUGAUCGGCCACACUGGGACUGAGACACGGCCCAGACUCCUACGGGAGGCAGCAGUAGGGAAUCUUCGGCAAUGGACGGAAGUCUGACCGAGCAACGCCGCGUGAGUGAAGAAGGUUUUCGGAUCGUAAAGCUCUGUUGUAAGAGAAGAACGAGUGUGAGAGUGGAAAGUUCACACUGUGACGGUAUCUUACCAGAAAGGGACGGCUAACUACGUG